GCAGUCAUCCUGUUAAAGGAGGAACCAGUUAGAAGCUGUUUUCAAAGCAGCUGAGCAGAUUUUAUCUCAACAGACAAAGCUGAUGGCAGAAGAUGUUUGGAGAAGAACUUCAGGCCGUGGACUGAAAAGAUCAAAGCAGCUCGUGCUCUUUCUGCUUCCAUUUUGAUGGCAAGAAGAAGAAGAAGAAGACUUCAGCGAAGUGGCGUUCAUGGUCUCAGUGGACAGUCAUGGUCACACACUGCAUGUGGUUUUAAAAGCAACAUGUCUGUUCACCACAACAAUGGAGAUGUGUAAUAUU